rnacentral:lncRNA from 1 species
UCACCAGUGCGAUUCUGGAUAAAGCCACUGAAAAUUCGAACCAGGAAAUGGAACCCCACCACUGUUGGUCCAAUUUUCACACACGUGAGAAUCCCUGGCAAAGGGAGCAGAACUGAACCGGCUUUACCAAACCGCCAGCGAACUUGACAAUUGUAUUGCGAUGGCGUGGGCUGCGUGACGUCACCUCCGGUCGUGUCUCUGGUCUCCGUGUUUUCCAGUUAAUUACAUCCUCAUGCAGCCUUCUGAUGGCCUGGCCCACCUUCCCCAGAACCAGGGGAGGCCUGAGGCUUCAGUUUUACUCUGCUGCAAAAUGAAGGCGGGCCUGCAAGCCGACUACACCUACGGAGGCUGUUGAGGACAAUUUCAUUCCAUUAAAUUAAAAAAUACUGACUGGCUGGCAGGCAGGUGCCAUGUCUGGGAACAGGGACGGGGGAGCUUCACCUUUUUGUCUUGGCUUUUCUUUGGGCUGUGGGGGGGCAUCCAUUUCCAGGGUCGGGGAGGAAAUACCAAAUGCAUUGUUGUUCUGCUCAAUACAUCUCACUUGUUUCUAAUAAAGAAAGCAGCUGAACAAAA